rnacentral:rRNA from 1 species
AUUAGGGUUUGAUCCUGGCUCAGAACGAACGUUAGCGGUGUGGAUUAGGCAUGCAAGUCGCGCGCGAAAGCCUUCGGGCGAGUAAAGCGGCGAAAGGGUGAGUAACACGUAACCAACGUACCCUCCAGACCGGGAUAACUACCGGAAACGGUAGAUAAUACCGGAUGGUCCCCUGAAGGACAUCCUUCAGGAGGUAAACGGCGGCUUCGGCUGCUGCUGGUGGAGCGGGUUGCGGCCUAUCAGCUUGUUGGUGGGGUAACGGCCUACCAAGGCUUCGACGGGUAGCGGGUCUGAGAGGAUGAUCCGUCACACUGGGACUGAGACACUGCCCAGACUCCUACGGGAGGCUGCAGUCGAGAAUCUUCCGCAAUGGGCGAAAGCCUGACGGAGCGACACCGCGUGCAGGAUGAAGGCCUUAGGGUUGUAAACUGCUGUCACGCAAUAGGAAUCGUUUGUCGUUAAUAGCGGCAAGCUUGACCAAAGCGAGAGGAAGAGCCGGCUAACUCCGUGCCAGCAGCCGCGGUAAGACGGAGGGCUCUAACGUUGUUCGGAAUCACUGGGCAUAAAGAGCACGUAGGCUGCCCGCUCAGUCAUAUGUGAAAGCCCCCGGCUCAACCGGGGAAUUGCAUGUGAUACUGGCGGGCUAGAGGACGGCAGGGGUAAGUGGAACUCCAGGUGGAACGGUGAAAUGUGUAGAUAUCUGGAGGAACACCGGUGGCGAAAGCGGCUUACUGGGCCGUCUCUGACGCUGAGGUGCGAAAGCUAGGGUAGCGAACGGGAUUAGAUACCCCGGUAGUCCUAGCCGUAAACGAUGGGCACUAGGCAAUGGAGAUUAUGGGGCUCUCUGCCGCAGCUAAUGUGUUAAGUGCCCCGCCUGGGGAGUACGCUCGCAAGGGUAAAACUCAAAGGAAUUGACGGGGGAUCACACAAGCGGUGGAGCAUGUGGUUUAAUUCGAAGCAACGCGAAGAACCUUAUCCUGGGCUUGACAUGCUUGGAUGCUCAUCUGGAAACAGAGUAGGCUGCCCUUCGGGGUGAAACUAGUACAGGUGCUGCAUGGCUGUCGUCAGCUCGUGUCGUGAGAUGUUGGGUUAAGUCCCGUAACGAGCGAAACCCUUAUCGUUAGUUGCCAGCGCGUAAUGGCGGGGACUCUAGCGAGACUGCCGGUGUUAAACCGGAGGAAGGUGGGGAUGACGUCAAGUCCUCAUGGCCUUUAUGCCCAGGGCUGCACACGUGAUACAAUGGUAUCGACAAACCGACGCGAGACCGCAAGGUGGAGCAAAUCGGAAAAACGAUGCCUCAGUUCGGAUUGCAGGCUGCAACUCGCCUACAUGAAGUUGGAAUCGCUAGUAAUCGCAGAUCAGCUAUGCUGCGGUGAAUGUGUUCCUGAGCCUUGUACACACCGCCCGU